GGCAGACCAUUGACAGGGCUGAGGGCAGACCAUUGACAGGGCUGAGGACAGACCAUUGACAGGGCUGAGGGCAGAUUUUUGACAGGGCUGAGGGCAAAGGUUUAACAGUAAUGGGGCAGACGUUUGACAGGACUCAGGGCAGAUGUUUGACAGGGCUGAGGGCAGACGUUUGACAGGACUCAGGGCAGAUGUUUGAAGGGACUCAGGGCAGACAUUUGAAGGGACUCAGGGCAGACUUUUCACAGGACUCAGGGCAGACCCACUGUUUAGACAGGACUCAGGGCAGACAUUUGACAGGACUCAGGGCAGACUUUCACAGGACUCAGGGCAGACCCACUGUUUAGACAGGACUCAGGGCAGACAUUUGACAGGACUCAGGGCAGAUGUUUGACAAGAUUCAUGGCAGACCUUUGACAUUUGACAGGACUCAGGGCAAACAUUUGACAGGACUCAGGGCAGACCCACUGUUUAGACAGGUCUCAGGGCAGACCCACUGUUUAGACAGGUCUCAGGGCAGACAUUUGACAGGACUCAGGGCAGACCCACUGUUUAGACAGGUCUCAGGGUAGACAUUUGACAGGACUCAGGGCAGACCCACUGUUUAGACAGGUCUCAGGGCAGACAUUUGACAGGACUCAGGGCAGACCCACUGUUUAGACAGGACUCAGGGCAGACAUUUGACAGGACUCAGGGCAGACCCACUGUUUAGACAGGACUCAGGGCAGACCCACUGUUUAGACAGGUCUCAGGGCAGACCCACUGUUUAGACAGGACUCAGGGCAGACCCACUGUUUAGACAGGUCUCAGGGCAGACCCACUGUUCAGACAGAUCUCUGACUCUUUCCACUGAUGAAGAGACAGGGUGUGAGUGUGUGUGUGUGUGUGUGUGUGUGUGUGUGUGUGUGUGUGUGUGUGUGU
rnacentral:lncRNA from 1 species